CAUAUUGGUUUCAGUGCUUGCAAGGCAUAAAUGGUGCUUAAAAGAAGCCUUUUUGGUUAAGAAUGAUUGCAUUAAAAAAUUUGAACCCUAGGAAUUUGCUCAGAAAAAUCUCACCUUUCUCUCUUCUCAGUGUAGCCAUCCAUCAUUACUCGAGCCUUGAAGCAACCAGCACCAGAGAAGAAGAACACGGCAAAUUUGCGUUUCCGAGCUUCCACUUGCGGGAACAAACGCUCGUCUCUCUCUUCCAUCCAUGCUCCACCAUGCGUGAGCUCUCCCAAAUCCACGCUCUCAUUAUAAGAUCGGGUUUCGCUCAGCAUGUCUUCGUGGUCGGCCGCCUCAUCUCUUUCUGCGCUGUCUCCGAAUUCGGCUCAAUGAAACACGCCAAUGAUGUCUUUGAAGACAUCAACUUCCCGGAUGCCUUUAUCUGCAACACUAUGAUUCGAGGCUUCGUGAGAACGGGGAGCGAAGUAGAGGCUAUUGACUGCUUCAAGAGGAUGAGAAGGGAUGGGAAGCAAGCGGAUAACUUCACCUUCUCCUUCCUUCUCAAGCUCUGUGGUCAGUUAUUCAUGGUCGAGCUAGGGAAGCAGGUGCAUUGCUCUCUUCUUAAAGAUGGCUACGAGGUCCAUACCUUCGUGCGGAACACUCUCAUUCAUAUGUACGGCAUGUUCAGAAAUUUGGCCGCUGCACGCCACUUGUUUGACGAAAUGCCUGUGAAGGAUUUGGUGUCUUGGAACGCUCUCAUUGAUGGCCUAGUUCAUUGUAUGCAGUAUAAAGAAGCGUUGAGAAUGUUUGUGAGAAUGCAGGAAAGUGGUAUUGCACCAGAUGCAGCCACAUUUGUGGUGGUUCUUUCUUCCUGUGCAGAGUUUGGUGAGUUGGGUUUUGGUCAGCGGGUUCAUUCCAAAAUCAGCACUUGUGUUCUGGAUGAGUUCAUCUCUGUAUCAAAUUCACUGAUUGAUAUGUAUUCCAAGUGUGGGGCUAUUGACUUGGCAGUCUUGGUUUUCCAAAGGAUGAAAGAAAGGAACACGGUGUCAUGGAAUUCAAUGAUACUAGGACUUGCAAUGCAUGGCCGUGCACGUGAAGCAUUGCAGCUAUUUGAAGAAUUGCAGCUGACAGAGUUUGGUGAGCCCAAUGGCAUUACCUUUCUUGGUGUUCUUUGUGCUUGCAGUCAUGGAGGUUUGUUGGAAGAAGGAAGAAGAUAUUUCCAUUGCAUGAGAAGGGAUUAUGGAAUUGAUCCUUCAGUGCAGCACUAUGGAUGCAUGGUAGAUCUUCUUGGGAGAACUGGGCUGUUAGGGGAGGCCUAUGAGGUUAUAAGAAGCAUGCCCACAGGGGGGAAUGCUGUGAUGUGGAGGACAUUGUUAGGGGCUUGCCGAGUUCAUGGGGACCUUGAGAUGGGGGAGAGUGUUAGGAAGCAUCUUAUUGAAUUGGAGCCUGACCAUAGCAGUGACUUUGUUCUACUUUCGCAUAUGUAUGCAAUGGUUGGAAGAUGGAAUGAUGUGCUUAAUGUUAGAGAGGAUAUGCUGGGGGUUGGAGUUCAGAAGCCACAGCCAGGAAACAGCUUUAUAGAUUCCUUUCCUUGUGGUGAGAUUCCAGCAACUGCAUUUGGCAUACCAUAGAAACAAAGGCUCGGCUUCUUUUCUAGAGAUUUGGAAAAUUUCGAAGACAUCCUCUUGUUUUGUUAGAAAAUUUGACGCCUCGUCCGCCCUACGACAGGUACAUACUCAUGAUCCUCUUCUGCCCUACGAAAAUCAAUGUCGUUGUGGGAAGGAUACUGCCAUUUAUAAUUCUGGAGAACCAUCGCGGCAAUCACAUUCUGCACCUGUUUGGGAAACAGGCGCCAGACUAAUUUGACACUUUUAUAGACGCCAGACUAAUACGAUCCCAUAUAAAUAGCCAAGGGACUAUUUCAACACUUUACUCUUGAGAAUUUUCAUCACUCUGGAAGUCUCACUUUGCCAAUUUCAUUCUGUGCAGGAUUCAAUCUGUUGUGGAAUUCCAGCAGACAAUACUCAAGCAUGAGGCCCCCUAUGAAUUGAAUGUUUCUCAUUCCUUCUCUAUAUUCUGGAUGUUUGAGGUGUAGUUUUCCUUCUUAUUUUACUUUUGGAAGAUUACAUAUAUACCCACUCAAUUCCUAUGUAUUUACAUAUG